AGCGAACGCUGGCGGCAGGCCUAACACAUGCAAGUCGAACGAACUCUUCGGAGUUAGUGGCGGACGGAUGAGUAACACGUGGGAACGUGCCUUUUGGUUCGGAAUAACUCAGGGAAACUUGUGCUAAUACCGAAUGUGCCCUUCGGGGGAAAGAUUUAUCGCCAUUAGAGCGGCCCGCGUCUGAUUAGCUAGUUGGUGAGGUAACGGCUCACCAAGGCGACGAUCAGUAGCUGGUCUGAGAGGAUGACCAGCCACACUGGGACUGAGACACGGCCCAGACUCCUACGGGAGGCAGCAGUGGGGAAUCUUGCGCAAUGGGCGAAAGCCUGACGCAGCCAUGCCGCGUGAAUGAUGAAGGUCUUAGGAUUGUAAAAUUCUUUCACCGGGGACGAUAAUGACGGUACCCGGAGAAGAAGCCCCGGCUAACUUCGUG
rnacentral:rRNA from 1 species